UACAGAGGCCUCGAGCGUUAAUCGGAAUCACUGGGCUUAAAGGGUGCGUAGGCGGCGCUGCAAGUGCCUUGUGAAAUCCCAUCGCUUAACGAUGGAACUGCUCGGUAGACUGCAGUGCUUGAGGUUGGUAGGGGCUGCCGGAACUCUAGGUGGAGCGGUGAAAUGCGCAGAUAUCAGGAGGAACACCGGUGGCGAAGGCGGGUCUCUGGGCCGAUACUGACGCUGAGGAGCGAAAGCGUGGGGAGCAAACAGG
rnacentral:rRNA from 1 species